rnacentral:rRNA from 1 species
AAGGUUAAGCCUCACGGUUCAUUAGUACCGGUUAGCUCAACGCAUCGCUGCGCUUACACACCCGGCCUAUCAACGUCGUCGUCUUCAACGUUCCUUCAGGACUCUCAAGGAGUCAGGGAGAACUCAUCUCGGGGCAAGUUUCGUGCUUAGAUGCUUUCAGCACUUAUCUCUUCCGCAUUUAGCUACCGGGCAGUGCCAUUGGCAUGACAACCCGAACACCAGUGAUGCGUCCACUCCGGUCCUCUCGUACUAGGAGCAGCCCCCCUCAGUUCUCCAGCGCCCACGGCAGAUAGGGACCGAACUGUCUCACGACGUUCUAAACCCAGCUCGCGUACCACUUUAAAUGGCGAACAGCCAUACCCUUGGGACCUACUUCAGCCCCAGGAUGUGAUGAGCCGACAUCGAGGUGCCAAACACCGCCGUCGAUAUGAACUCUUGGGCGGUAUCAGCCUGUUAUCCCCGGAGUACCUUUUAUCCGUUGAGCGAUGGCCCUUCCAUUCAGAACCACCGGAUCACUAUGACCUGCUUUCGCACCUGCUCGCGCCGUCACGCUCGCAGUCAAGCUGGCUUAUGCCAUUGCACUAACCUCCUGAUGUCCGACCAGGAUUAGCCAACCUUCGUGCUCCUCCGUUACUCUUUAGGAGGAGACCGCCCCAGUCAAACUACCCACCAGACACUGUCCGCAACCCGGAUUACGGGUCAACGUUAGAACAUCAAACAUUAAAGGGUGGUAUUUCAAGGUCGGCUCCAUGCAGACUGGCGUCCACACUUCAAAGCCUCCCACCUAUCCUACACAUCAAGGCUCAAUGUUCAGUGUCAAGCUAUAGUAAAGGUUCACGGGGUCUUUCCGUCUUGCCGCGGGUACACUGCAUCUUCACAGCGAGUUCAAUUUCACUGAGUCUCGGGUGGAGACAGCCUGGCCAUCAUUACGCCAUUCGUGCAGGUCGGAACUUACCCGACAAGGAAUUUCGCUACCUUAGGACCGUUAUAGUUACGGCCGCCGUUUACCGGGGCUUCGAUCAAGAGCUUCGCUUGCGCUAACCCCAUCAAUUAACCUUCCGGCACCGGGCAGGCGUCACACCGUAUACGUCCACUUUCGUGUUUGCACAGUGCUGUGUUUUUAAUAAACAGUUGCAGCCAGCUGGUAUCUUCGACUGAUUUCAGCUCCAUCCGCGAGGGACUUCACCUACAUAUCAGCGUGCCUUCUCCCGAAGUUACGGCACCAUUUUGCCUAGUUCCUUCACCCGAGUUCUCUCAAGCGCCUUGGUAUUCUCUACCUGACCACCUGUGUCGGUUUGGGUACGAUUUGAUGUUACCUGAUGCUUAGAGGCUUUUCCUGGAAGCAGGGCAUUUGUUGCUUCAGCACCGUAGUGCCUCGUCAUCACGCCUCAGCCUUGAUUUUCCGGAUUUGCCUGGAAAACCAGCCUACACGCUUAAACCGGGACAACCGUCGCCCGGCCAACAUAGCCUUCUCCGUCCCCCCUUCGCAGUAACACCAAGUACAGGAAUAUUAACCUGUUUCCCAUCGACUACGCCUUUCGGCCUCGCCUUAGGGGUCGACUCACCCUGCCCCGAUUAACGUUGGACAGGAACCCUUGGUCUUCCGGCGAGCGGGCUUUUCACCCGCUUUAUCGUUACUUAUGUCAGCAUUCGCACUUCUGAUACCUCCAGCAUGCCUCACAGCACACCUUCGCAGGCUUACAGAACGCUCCCCUACCCAACAACGCAUAAGCGUCGCUGCCGCAGCUUCGGUGCAUGGUUUAGCCCCGUUACAUCUUCCGCGCAGGCCGACUCGACCAGUGAGCUAUUACGCUUUCUUUAAAUGAUGGCUGCUUCUAAGCCAACAUCCUGGCUGUCUGGGCCUUCCCACAUCGUUUCCCACUUAACCAUGACUUUGGGACCUUAGCUGGCGGUCUGGGUUGUUUCCCUCUUCACGACGGACGUUAGCACCCGCCGUGUGUCUCCCGUGAUAACAUUCUCCGGUAUUCGCAGUUUGCAUCGGGUUGGUAAGUCGGGAUGACCCCCUUGCCGAAACAGUGCUCUACCCCCGGAGAUGAAUUCACGAGGCGCUACCUAAAUAGCUUUCGGGGAGAACCAGCUAUCUCCCGGUUUGAUUGGCCUUUCACCCCCAGCCACAAGUCAUCCGCUAAUUUUUCAACAUUAGUCGGUUCGGUCCUCCAGUUAGUGUUACCCAACCUUCAACCUGCCCAUGGCUAGAUCACCGGGUUUCGGGUCUAUACCCUGCAACUUAACGCCCAGUUAAGACUCGGUUUCCCUUCGGCUCCCCUAUUCGGUUAACCUUGCUACAGAAUAUAAGUCGCUGACCCAUUAUACAAAAGGUACGCAGUCACACGCCUAAGCGAGCUCCCACUGCUUGUACGUACACGGUUUCAGGUUCUUUUUCACUCCCCUCGCCGGGGUUCUUUUCGCCUUUCCCUCACGGUACUGGUUCACUAUCGGUCAGUCAGGAGUAUUUAGCCUUGGAGGAUGGUCCCCCCAUAUUCAGACAGGAUACCACGUGUCCCGCCCUACUCAUCGAGCUCACAGCAUGUGCAUUUUUGUGUACGGGGCUGUCACCCUGUAUCGCGCGCCUUUCCAGACGCUUCCACUAACACACAUACUGAUUCAGGCUCUGGGCUGCUCCCGUUCGCUCGCCGCUACUGGGGGAAUCUCGGUUGAUUUCUUUUCCUCGGGGUACUUAGAUGUUUCAGUUCCCCCGGUUCGCCUCAUUAACCUAUGGAUUCAGUUAAUGAUAGUGUGUCGAAACACACUGGGUUUCCCCAUUCGGAAAUCGCCGGUUAUAACGGUUCAUAUCACCUUACCGACGCUUAUCGCAGAUUAGCACGUCCUUCAUCGCCUCUGACUGCCAGGGCAUCCACCGUGUACGCUUAGUCGCUUAA